rnacentral:rRNA from 1 species
UACGUCGGGGGCAAGCGUUGUCCGGAAUCAUUGGGCGUAAAGAGCGCGUAGGCGGCCCAGUAAGUCCGCUCUGAAAGUCAGGGGCUCAACCCCUGAAUGCGGGUGGAUACUGCUGGGCUAGAGUCCGGAAGAGGCGAGUGGAAUUCCUGGUGUAGCGGUGAAAUGCGCAGAUAUCAGGAGGAACACCGAUGGCGAAGGCAGCUCGCUGGGACGGUACUGACGCUGAGGCGCGAAAGCGUGGGAGCAAACAGG